AUUGAACGCUGGCGGCAGGCCUAACACAUGCAAGUCGAGCGAGCGGCGGACGGGUGAGUAAUGUCUGGGAAACUGCCUGAUGGAGGGGGAUAACUACUGGACACGGUAGCUAAUACCGCAUACCAUCAGAGGUGCCCAGAGGGGAUUAGCUAGUAGGUGGGGUAACGGCUCACCUAGGCGCCGAUCCCUAGCUGGUCUGAGAGGAUGACCAGCAACACUGGAACUUAGACACUGUCCAGGCUCCUACGGGGGGAAGCAUUGGGUAAUAUUGCACAAUGGGCGCAGGCCUGAUGCAGCCAUGCCGGGUGUGUGAAGAAGGCCUUCGGGUUGUAGAGCACUUUCAGCGGGGAGGCUUUACCCGCAGAGGAAGCACCGGCUAACUCCGUGCCAGCAGCCGCGGUAAUUC
rnacentral:rRNA from 1 species